AGGGAACCAGUAUUGUGCCUCGCGUCGAGUUCAGCGCGAUUCGUGCUGCUCUUGUGCGCAUGAGCGAAGAGGACGCUUCGCCGGGACUUUUACAAAGGGAGCGCAGACACGGGAGAGGGACGUAUAAACAAACUUCCUUGGAAAAAAAGUUUGCAGGUUGCAUGGCAAGCUGAUUUGGUGCAUGACAUUUGUAUGAGUGCAUUCAGGCUCUCUGUGGGAUUUCAAGUGAGUGUCUGCUGCAAUGGCCCAAACUAUGCACGUUAACGGCAAUGCCUCAGGUAAUGCCUCCCUU
rnacentral:lncRNA from 1 species